rnacentral:rRNA from 1 species
AGCGAACGCUGGCGGCAGGCCUAAACAUGCAAGUCGAACGGAUCCUUCGGGAUUAGUGGCGGACGGGUGAGUAACACGUGGAACGUGCCUUUUGGUUCGGAACAACUCAGGGAAACUUGAGCUAAUACCGAAUGUGCCCUUCGGGGAAAGAUUAUCGCCAUUAGAGCGGCCCGCGUCUGAUUAGCUUGUUGGUGAGGUAAAGGCUCACCAAGGCGACGAUCAGUAGCUGGUCUGAGAGGAUGAUCAGCCACACUGGGACUGAGACACGGCCCAGACUCCUACGGGAGGCAGCAGUUAGGAAUCUUGCGCAAUGGGGGAAACCCUGACGCAGCCAUGCAGCGUGAAUGAUGAAGGUCUUAGGAUUGUAAAAUUCUUUCAGCGGGGACGAUAAUGACGGUACCCGCAGAAGAAGCCCCGGCUAAACUUCGUGCCAGCAGCCGCGGUAAU